GAAAGUAGUGUCCCAGGAGUUUUGUCUGGCUCUGUUCAUUCAUGAAUUCAGCUGCCUAUCUCUUUAGACCAUGUUGUUUACAUCUCCAGUUAUUGAAGAUGCCAUAUGUUUAUUUUUUCCAUUCGAGAAUCCACAAGAAUAAAAUGCAUUUUAAAGAAAACAAUCUUCCUCUGUUAGUGAUCUUAGUAUACAAGAAGUAACUUUAUUUAAUCAAUAGCAACAAAAGA